CAUGUGUGUUAGUGGAAGCGUCUGGAAAGGCGCGCGAUACAGGGUGACAGCCCCGUACACAAAAGCGCAUGUGCUGUGAGCUCGAUGAGUAGGGCGGGACACGUGGUAUCCUGUCUGAAUAUGGGGGGACCAUCCUCCAAGGCUAAAUACUCCUGACUGACCGAUAGUGAACCAGUACCGUGAGGGAAAGGCGAAAAGAACCCCGGCGAGGGGAGUGAAAAAGAACCUGAAACCGUGUACGUACAAGCAGUGGGAGCACCCUUUGGGUGUGACUGCGUACCUUUUGUAUAAUGGGUCAGCGACUUAUAUUCUGUAGCAAGGUUAACCGAAUAGGGGAGCCGGAGGGAAACCGAGUCUUAACCGGGCGUUAAGUUGCAGGGUAUAGACCCGAAACCCGGUGAUCUAGCCAUGGGCAGGUUGAAGGUUGGGUAACACUAACUGGAGGACCGAACCGACUAAUGUUGAAAAAUUAGCGGAUGACCUGUGGCUGGGGGUGAAAGGCCAAUCAAACCGGGAGAUAGCUGGUUCUCCCCGAAAGCUAUUUAGGUAGCGCCUCGUGAAUUCAUCUCCGGGGGUAGAGCACUGUUUCGGCUAGGGGGCCAUCCCGGCUUACCAACCCGAUGCAAACUGCGAAUACCGGAGAAUGUUAUCACGGGAGACACACGGCGGGUGCUAACGUCCGUCGUGAAGAGGGAAACAACCCAGACCGCCAGCUAAGGUCCCAAAGUCAUGGUUAAGUGGGAAACGAUGUGGGAAGGCCCAGACAGCCAGGAUGUUGGCUUAGAAGCAGCCAUCAUUUAAAGAAAGCGUAAUAGCUCACUGGUCGAGUCGGCCUGCGCGGAAGAUGUAACGGGGCUAAACCAUGCACCGAAGCUGCGGCAGCGACACUGUGUGUUGUUGGGUAGGGGAGCGUUCUGUAAGCCUGUGAAGGUGUGUCGUGAGGCAUGCUGGAGGUAUCAGAAGUGCGAAUGCUGACAUAAGUAACGAUAAAGCGGGUGAAAAGCCCGCUCGCCGGAAGACCAAGGGUUCCUGUCCAACGUUAAUCGGGGCAGGGUGAGUCGACCCCUAAGGCGAGGCCGAAAGGCGUAGUCGAUGGGAAACGGGUUAAUAUUCCCGUACUUGGUGUUACUGCGAAGGGGGGACGGAGAAGGCUAUGUUGGCCGGGCGACGGUUGUCCCGGUU
rnacentral:rRNA from 1 species